rnacentral:rRNA from 1 species
GAUGAACGCUGGCGGUCUGCUUAACACAUGCAAGUCGAACGGGCUCUUCGGAGCUAGUGGCGGACGGGUGAGUAACGCGUGAGAAUCUGCCUUCAGGAGGGGGAUAACGACUGGAAACGGUCGCUAAUACCCCAUAUGCCUCCGGGUGAAAAGUAAUUCGCCUGAAGAUGAGCUCGCGUCAGAUUAGCUAGUUGGUGGGGUAAGAGCCUACCAAGGCGACGAUCUGUAGCUGGUCUGAGAGGAUGAUCAGCCACACUGGGACUGAGACACGGCCCAGACUCCUACGGGAGGCAGCAGUGGGGAAUUUUCCGCAAUGGGCGCAAGCCUGACGGAGCAAGACCGCGUGGGGGAUGACGGCCUAAUGGUUGUAAACCCCUUUUCUCUGGGAAGAAGACUGACGGUACCAGAGGAAUCAGCCUCGGCUAACUCCGUGCCAGCAGCCGCGGUAAUACGGAGGAGGCAAGCGUUAUCCGGAAUUAUUGGGCGUAAAGCGUCCGUAGGUGGUUAUUCAAGUCUGCUGUCAAAGCGUGGGGCUUAACUCUAUAGAGGCAGUGGAAGCUGAGUGACUAGAGUGCGGUAGGGGUCGAGGGAACUCCCAGUGUAGCGGUGAAAUGCGUAGAUAUUGGGAAGAACACCAGUGGCGAAAGCGCUCGACUGGGCCUGCACUGACACUGAGGCACGAAAGCGUGGGGAGCAAACAGGAUUAGAUACCCUGGUAGUCCACGCUGUAAACGAUGAUCACUAGCUGUUGGCGAUACACUGUCAGCGGCUGAGCGAAAGUAUUAAGUGAUCCACCUGGGGAGUACGAUCGCAAGGUUGAAACUCAAAGGAAUUGACGGGGGCCCGCACAAGCGGAGGAGCAUGUGGUUUAAUUCGAUGAUACGCGAGGAACCUCACCUAGGCUUAAAUGCUUUUUGACCGUCCUGGAAACAGGAUUUCCCUUCGGGGCAAAUUGCAAGGUGCUGCAUGGUUGUCGUCAGCUCGUGCCGUGAGGUGUCGGGUUAAGUCCCAUAACGAGCGCAACCCCUAUUCUUAGUUGCCAUCAGGUAAUGCUGGGAACUCUAAGGAAACUGCCUACGCAAGUAGUGAGGAAGGUGGGGAUGACGUCAAAUCAGCACGGCCCUUACGCCUAGGGCUACACACGUGCUACAAUGGCCAGCAUAGUGGGUUGCUACCUGGUAACAGGAUGCUAAUCUCUAAAUCUGGUCUCAGUUCGGAUUGAAGUCUGCAACUCGACUUCAUGAAGUUGGAUUCGCUAGUAAUCGCGCAUCAGCAAUGGCGCGGUGAAUACGUUCCCGGGCCUUGUACACGCCGCCCGUCAAGCCAUGGAAGCUGGGAGUGCCUGAAGUCUGUAACC